GCAUACCGCGGUUAUACAAUAAAUAUGAAUUAAUUUUUUUGGUUUAUUAAGUUAAAAUUUGUUUUUUGUUUAAAAUUUUUAUUUUUGGGUGAAAUUAAAAUAUUUAAUAAUCUUUUUAUGAUUCUUUGAAAUUUAAAAUUUAAACUAGGAUUAGAUACCCUAUUAUUUUGAAUGUUAAAUUUAACCAGGGUAGUAGUAGUUAUGAUCUUUAAACCUAAAGAAUUUGGCGGUGUUUUAGUCUAUUUAGAGGAAUUUGUCCCUUAAUCGAUAGUCCUCGUUUUAUCUUACUUUAUUUAGUUAUUUUCAGUUUGUAUACCGCCGUUAUAAGUUUAUUUUUUAAGAAUUUAAUUUACUGUAUAUUUUAUUAA
rnacentral:rRNA from 1 species